ACAGCCGUUGCACACGAGUCAGUCGAUCCUAAGCCCUAGGAGAAAUCCGAUGUCGAUGGGGGCCGUCAUAGCAUGAUGCCUAUUUGUGCUGGCCCCCGUUGGGCGAAAGGGAAUCCGGUUCCUAUUCCGGAACCCGGCAGCGGAACCGAUACAAGUCGGGCCCCUCUUUUAGAGAUGCUCGUCGGGGUAACCCAAAAGGACCCGGAGACGCCGUCGGGAGAUCGGGGAAGAGUUUUCUUUUCUGCAUGAGCGUUCGAGUUCCCUGGAAUCCUCUAGCAGGGAGAUAGGGUUUGGAACGCG
rnacentral:rRNA from 1 species